UGAUCAUUUUUUUUUUUUAAUUACGACGGCCAGUAGCAACAGUUUGCAUUCAGUUUAUUAUAUUUUGUUUUGGCAACGUUGCUGGAGAACUUCGACAACGUAUUUUGCUGGAGAAAAAGGACUUCACGGAUCAGAAAGGCAAUUUAUCUCGAUAGGGGCUUACAUUUGUUUUAGCUGCAGCCCGUGAAAGCAUCGCGAAUGGUGUCACCUGUUUGCCCCAGUCCAGUGAAGAACACCAUAGUUAGACAGACGACUUCAGGACAAUAUCCAAAAUAAAUCAAGUCAUCGGAUACCUUACCUUGAGACUCUCUUGAAGCAUCACGAAUGAAAGACCAGGUGUUUCUUUCUGGAUCACCGCCUUUGUAGCCUCAGGUGUCACAUCCCUUGGAGUACAGCC